ACAGCAAUCUGCUUGCAAAGCAGGUGAGGGCUCUUGGGAUUCAAAUCUUGUCCUUGCCGUCUUAUGAAUAUAAAGAAGCGGUUAGAAGAUGAGAGGAACGAUGUCAACAACUAUUGGUUGGUUCUGCUACCAAGCUACUAGGAGGGUUUUGAUAUUUUGAUCACGGGACAUGCUUUUGAUGAUCAUACAUGAAAUAAUUAGGGACUUUUGACAAGAAUGUUUUGAGUUCAGAAAUUAUUUAGAAAUUUAUAAUAAUUAGGGAUUUCCUACAAGAAUUUUUAUAAGAGUUCAAGGUGAAUCUCGAUGUUGUUAUUAUUCAUGUAUGAAGAUUUUAGCUUCAUCACAGUUCAUUCAGAAAAGUAAGUAAUUUAAUUAUGAGGUCUUUUUAGAUGUUUAUGGGGAUGAUGGCAGGUGCCUAACGUUCCAAAAAUAUGUGUUGAAUGAAACAUUUUAGCAUAAUACAUGCCAAUCAUGGUUCGCAUUAUCUAUAUGGACAGGGGUGAGUACUGAAGGUGAGCAUGCUGAUGCAGCUAGCUCAAGAGUUUUUUCAUUGGCGGAAAAUAGUUCAAGCAGGUAGUACGUGAAUGUCGAAAGAUUCUUGCAUGUGACUUCACUGGUAAUAUCAGAGACAAUAGCAAUUCCUAAUUAUAGCUCAUCAAUAGCCUCCUUCACUGUAUCAACUAGCUAGCCACGUACGGGUAUUCUAAUAGGAGCAUGAAGGCCACUCUUGAAGAUGUGGGUCUGAUCCACGGUUGCCUGACUCAGAUAAUUUUGGAAGAAUGUGAUGUGCACAUAAAGUGUGGAAUUUGCUUCUAUUGUGUGUUUGGGGCUCGAAUUUUGAUUUUUUUGUUUGUUUUAAAUUAGUUUUUUUUUGUUUUUUUAAUCAAUUCUUCUUGUUUUAAAUUAGUCUGUGGCCCAAAGUCUUAUCCAUUCUUCUUCUUGUUGUUGUUUCCCUGUAUAUAUCAUUCCAUGUAGAAACCGUACGUAUGCAUUCUUGUCUCU